rnacentral:lncRNA from 1 species
UUUCACUGACACGCCCGAUUGAGAGAGAGGAAGGCGGCGGAGCUGUUGUUGUUGAGGAGAAGGCGGCACUACGAACCGGCAACGCUGUCGCCGAGAGAGAGGAGAUGUGCGGCGGCAGACUUGUGUAGUUGUGGAGGAGAGUUGCGGCGCAGCGGUGGUAAAAUUUUAGGGCUUUGAAUCGAAAAUUCAAACUGAAGAAGGGAAGGAA